AAUAGAUACCCCGGUAGUCCACGCCGUAAACGAUGUCGACUUGGAGGUUGUUCCCUUGAGGAGUGGCUUCCGGAGCUAACGCGUUAAGUCGACCGCCUGGGGAGUACGGCCACAAGGUUAAAACUCAAAUGAAUUGACGGGGGCCCGCACAAGCGGUGGAGCAUGUGGUUUAAUUCGAUGCAACGCGGAGAACCUUACCUACUCUUGACAUCCACGGAACUUUUCAGAGAUGAAUUGGUGCCUUCGGGAACCGUGAGACAGGUGCUGCAUGGCUGUCGUCAGCUCGUGUUGUGAAAUGUUGGGUUAAGUCCCGCAACGAGCGCAACCCUUAUCCUUUGUUGCCAGCGGUUAGGCCGGGAACUCAAAGGAGACUGCCAGUGAUAAACUGGAGGAAGGUGGGGAUGACGUCAAGUCAUCAUGGCCCUUACGAGUAGGGCUACACACGUGCUACAAUGGCGCAUACAAAGAGAAGCGACCUCGCGAGAGCAAGCGGACCUCAUAAAGUGCGUCGUAGUCCGGAUUGGAGUCUGCAACUCGACUCC
rnacentral:rRNA from 1 species